UUCAAAGUUUUGGAAAUCUAAUCCAUUCCCUCCCCUAUCAUUUAGUUUAUAUAUUUGGUUUUCAAAUUUAGUCUUCUUAACAUUAUGUUCUCCUUUGUUUGAUAACUAACAAAACGAGAUAUAAGAGGGAGAAGUUAAUCUAAGCACCUCGGAUGUCAAAAGUAGAUGUUUGACAACAAACGACAUGUAGCUUUCUUCUUGUUAGGGGUGUUUUUGUCCAGAUAAUUGGUGAAGCCUGUGUAGGCCGUGACGGCAAAAAGUGGAGGGACUGGAUUUUAUCUUUACACAGAAAGAACUUGGACAUCAACUUCUUCUUCUUCUUCUUCCCGGGUCGCCGCCGGACGUAAAGGACGACACUCUCUUCAUAACUCGGCCCGCCGCUGUGAAAUCUGCGGGGUUUAAUUUCAUUAGAUGCUUUUUUCUGCUGCCGAAUGUUUCCCAGAUCAUUUUUAUUGAGCCUUUGGGAAGGCUUUGUUUGACAGAGUGGAUAGCCGACUGUUUGUCGUUGGCUUCAGUUUUAGCACUCUGGUACAAGUCUUUAACAUGGAAGUGUUCAGGAUGGCCAUAUUCCAACUCGGCCCACCCCAACUAAAAGGUUUGCCCUUCAUACAGUUCAACAAGUUAUACAACCUCAGAAACAAACAAAGUUAGUCCAAAUCAGUUGUUAGAAAAUAUCUUUCGGACACAGGUUCAGGAACUGGUGAAACAGCAAAGAAGGAUCUGGGCUGUGAUUUUGGCACAAAUGGAGAUAUUUACAUUGUGAAGUUUAAGCAGUCAAAGUACUUUCAGGGGGCGUUUGUUGCACCGGACUGUCUCGGACUGGACUAGCUGCCGGGACUAAGUUGGACUGGCUUAGACUAGACUAAGCUGGACUAGUGUUGGACUAUAAAAUCGGAUAAUAAACAAACUAUAAUAUUAUAUUAUUUAAUGCAUAUAUUAUAAUAUUUAAUGUAUAUAUUGUAAUAUUUUAUAUUAUUUGAUGCAUACAUAAUAAUAUUUUAUUAUUUAAUCAACCUUUUAACCUUUUUUUCUCUUGGAAAACUAUCACUUUGGAAUCAUCUCUUCUUUUCUCCUUCUGGCUCCGUCCAUUUCUUCUUUUCUCCCUCAUUUUCCUGCACAACGCAGGUGUGAAGCUCAUCACAAAUCCUUCAAAAAAAAGCUCAUCAUCUUCACCCUCUUGCCGCCAUUAAGCAUCUCCACCUUCCUCAUUUUUUUUCUUCCAAAAAUUUUCGGAUCUCUCUUCCAUCUGAUACAUGAUUUGGCUUCUCUGCCUGCAAAGCCAUCUCAGAAUUUUCUGGCACAGGGUGGACUUUGAAUUUGGUGGUUGGAUUUGGUUGUUGUUAUUGUUUUGCGUUUUUUUUUUUUUUUAAUUUUGUGGUUGGAUUUUGAGAUUUAGGCAGUGGGUGAGGCUUUUGUUUCAGAUAUGGGGGGUGGGCAAACGGUGUUGCAGAGAAGAACGCUUGCAGACGAUGCAACGGGCAAACGAAUCAGAUUUGGGAACGGGAUUAGCAAUCCCAUACCUAUUGGGGAUCCUCGCUAAGACGACCUAACGAAAGACUUAGUCGGUGCGAGUCCGACUUAGUCUCAUUAACGGUAGUCCGGUAGUCCUUGUUCGCACCAAACACUGGCUAGCAAUCCCAGCUAAGCCAGUCCAAUCCAAGGAAAUUUAGUGAGGGCAAACAAACGCCCCCUCAGGCUCUUUUUCAGCAGUCUAAUAUCGGAACGGCUGUGAAUGAUGUGGUAUUGCUUGCCUCGGAUCUUGUUUGUCGGAAAUUCGAUCGGAGAGGCAGGACAAGUUGACUAGCACGUUAUCAAAACAUGACAGACAAAGUUGACAUCGCUGUGUAAGAGUUUUCAUACAACAAAAGGCAGAAGCGAGUAUCAAUGAGCCUGAAACACCAACUUUUGGGACGACUUUAGAGAACUUAACUCAACAAAAAACAGAGGUGACAAAGAACGACCUGAAGCUAAUCAGCUAUGAGCUAACUUUAUUGCUCAUAUGGUUAAGGAGUACUUACAGGAACUUCGCUUUCAUUAUCAGACACUAGAAGAAUAGUGCAAGUGAAUGAACUGGCUUAUAGAUGGAUGGCUUCCUAAUCUGUAUGACUACCAUGUUUAGUGUUAUUGUCGAUUCUUCAUUAAUCCAUUCAUGGUAAUUGAAUGAACAAUUGUCCAUUUUACUGUUCAGGUUUGUCAAAAACUUGCUCAAAGAGCAGACUGUCAGUGUGAUUUGAGCUGGUUGUAAAUAGUAUAAUUUCUUUGUAAAUAACACUUUAAAAUCA